UACUAUAUCUUAUAUAAACAUUCAUAUAUGCCACUCUCACGAUUCACCGCCUACAGUGAUGGAUGAUGAUGAUAUUUUGUGCUAAGAUAAAUGAUGAUAUCCUGGCCGAACAGACCAAACAGGAGACGCAGAGAGAGAGAGAGAAGAGGCACGCAGGUUGUGUCAUCUGGAUUCCUAGGAAGUAGAAGAGAAACUGGCAGGGUUACCGAGAUGGAGCCUCUGCUUUAUCUACUGGAGCACCUGGAAGAGAGUCCUAGAUUCAAACACAGCACCCUUUUGCUGCGAGGCCACUGUGCUUACCACCGCUGCUCUGUGCCGUCUGUGCCGCGAGUCAACUCUAACAAAAUCAGGAAGGAAGACCAUUCUGUGACCAUGGAAGG